rnacentral:pre_miRNA from 21 species
AACUGUACGGGAUGAUCCAUCUUCCCGUGUAGUCGGGUUAAGUGGACUGCACAGGAUAAUCGAUUAUCCCGUGCGGUU